CGUACCCUGCGGUGCCCGUGUGAAAGAGCCGAUUAGUUUUGAGCCAACACCUUUACAUCGGGAACCCGGACUCUGGCUGUGGCUUGCAGGCCUGCCGAGACAGGAAGCAAAAAGCAGCCGGGAGGGUACCCACCUGCCGAGAGCAGGUUCAAAACAACGGCCCCACGGCAUAGUGGGGUUUUA
rnacentral:other from 1 species